GCAGAUCUUCAAAAAAAAUCUUUUCUCUUUUCAAAGCCGUAAAAGAAGGAAGUCAUUGUUUUUGGCAGAUAAGAACCAUCAGCAAUCAGCUUUCAUAGAGGUCUUUUCUUUGCUUUUCUGAAAAAACCAACUCCCUUUAUUCUCUGUUUGUUCCUUAUAAAGAGGACAACUUAAUUUGCCAUGAUGGUCAGUUUGCUUU
rnacentral:lncRNA from 1 species